rnacentral:lncRNA from 1 species
UUUUAUUUUGCAUUUUUGUUUUGAUGUUUGCUGAAGGACGAGGGUGAAAUUGAAAAAAUAAAAAUACUAACAAUUGAAUUGACGAAGUUAUUAUGGAGUGAAGUAACAUUUUCUUUACUGGAACAUUAAAAUAUAGGUUAUUCUCUAAUCUCUAAUAACAAAACAUGGACACGAAUGACUCUGGUACAUUUGUGCUGUUAUCCAACAGUGGGAUGAUUGCAGACUACAAAGAGGAGACAUCUAACGGGAAUCGGGAGAGCUUAUUAAAAGAGUGCACCACACAGUACGGCAGUGAGCCUGCACGCAAGAACCUGCGGUGCCCGGAAUGUCUGCGAUUCACCACCCACGACCAGGACAAGAUGACGCGACACAUCAGGAGGGUGCACCAGGGGGUCAACCCUUACCAGUGCGAUAUAUGCGAAUACAG